CGCUAAAUUGCGACGCUCUUAUAAUUUUUGCAACUAUAAAUUGUAGUUGUUGGGUUAAUGAUUUUCAAACUUUUUUAAUUUAAAAUUUGCGACUAAUAUUGCAACCAAGUUAGUAGUCGUUAGUCGUUCGUUCUUAAAAUUUAUUAAAAAAAAAAGUCGUAAAUAUAAUGAGGAGUUGCCACCAAAAAAACAAAAAAGGAAAAAAACUAACUUAAUCACUCUAACAGUGUAACUCUAACCCAUAUAUACACUGUGUAGUACGAAACUCUUCCUCCAUUAAAAAGAAAAAAAAACACACAGAAGGCAAUUUUCAGAGAUUCAACCCUAACUGUAGCUCUUCAUCUUCCUCCGUUGCGCCACCACGUCUCCUCCCGGGAGAAUAUAUGGAAAACUUGAGGAAAUAUAAGAACAAAGGAUGACAAAGUCUACUUGGAGGUUGUAUGUGGGCAAAAGAAUGAAAAAGUCUAAGGUUUAGGGAGUGCUUCACAAAUGUACUACAAGAGCGUUCCUACUCACCGUACUACAUAUUGUAUAUCGUCAUUAGUUCUUGUUUGUAAUACGAGAGGUGAUUUUUGAAACAAUUAGUCUUAUGGUUACUAAUAUUGUUUUGAAUACAUUGAUACAAAAUUGAUGAUGAUAUUUUGGAUA